ACACGUAGGAGGCUAACGUUAUCCGGAUUUACUGGGCGUAAAGCGCGUGCAGGCGGUCUGGUAAGUUGGGCGUGAAAGCUCCCGGCUCAACUGGGAGAGGUCGUUCAAUACUGUCAGACUAGAGGAUGGUAGAGGGAGGUGGAAUUCCGGGUGUAGUGGUGAAAUGCGCAGAUAUCCGGAGGAACACCAGUGGCGAAAGCGGCCUCCUGGACCAUUCCUGACGCUCAGACGCGAAAGCUAGGGUAGCGAACGGGAUUAGAGACCCCGGUAGUCCUAGCUGUAAACGAUGUGAACUUGGCGUCGGUGGGAUUAAAUCCAUCGGUGUCGUAGCUAACGCGAUAAGUUCACCGCCUGAGGACUACGGCCGCAAGGUUAAA
rnacentral:rRNA from 1 species